AGACCUCCCACCCUUGUGUAUUAUUACUUUGUUGCUUUGGCGAGCUGCCUUCGGGCCUUGUAUGCUCGCCAGAGAAUACCAAAACUCUUUUUAUUAAUGUCGUCUGAGUACUAUAUAAUAGUUAAAACUUUCAACAACGGAUCUCUUGGUUCUGGCAUCGAUGAAGAACGCAGCGAAAUGCGAUAAGUAAUGUGAAUUGCAGAAUUCAGUGAAUCAUCGAAUCUUUGAACGCACAUUGCGCCCCUUGGUAUUCCGGGGGGCAUGCCUGUUCGAGCGUCAUUUCAACCCUCAAGCUUAGCUUGGUAUUGAGUCUAUGUCAGUAAUGGCAGGCUCUAAAAUCAGUGGCGGCGCCGCUGGGUCCUGAACGUAGUAAUAUCUCUCGUUACAGGUUCUCGGUGUGCUUCUGCCAAAACCCAAAUUUUUCUAUGGUUGACCUCGGA
rnacentral:rRNA from 1 species